rnacentral:rRNA from 1 species
UACGGGGGGGGCAAGCGUUGUUCGGAAUUACUGGGCGUAAAGGGCUCGUAGGCGGCCAACUAAGUCAGACGUGAAAUCCCUCGGCUUAACCGGGGAACUGCGUCUGAUACUGGAUGGCUUGAGUUUGGGAGAGGGAUGCGGAAUUCCAGGUGUAGCGGUGAAAUGCGUAGAUAUCUGGAGGAACACCGGUGGCGAAGGCGGCCCACUGGUCCGGUACUGACGCUGAGGUGCGAAAGCGUGGGGAGCAAACAGG